GGGGUUGGACAGGUGUGGUAAGUAUAAAUGCGUUGGUAUUUUCUUACUUUUAAGACAUUGCGUGGAUGGUAACAUUAACAUAUGGCUUUGCUUUGUUUACAUUUUAGAAUUUCAGGAAAUUUACAUAGGUCAGUUUAAUUGAGUUUAAAAUUAAUUUUUGUUUAUAUUUUCAGGUAUUUUCGCCAGAAGGACGGAAGCACCGAGCCACAGGAGUCAUUGCCGGUGGGGAAUGGGGGUUAUUUGUCCCAGUUCUUUGCAGCCGCAGGCUGCGCGCUAAUUUCGAAUUUGAGUGGGGCCGGCGUUUCUGUUUUACCAGUCGUCAUUGUUUAAGCUUCGUAUGGAGAUCCCGCGCUGCCGUCAAUUUUGAUUUCCUUGGAGCCGCUGGCAACGUUUGGCGAUGGGGUCUGCUUAUUUUGGGCAGAGAAGUCGUCGCUUUCAGUGGAGUUUGUUGUUGCCAGCGGCGCCGCGUCUGCCAGAUAGUUUGCAGGAGGCUGCCAACCCGCCCGUGGGUCUCAUCGCCAGCCGUCAAAGGUCCAAAGCGCAGUGGAUUCCCGCGCCGCCGUCUUAUUCCAAGGUCCAGGGAGUUGCUGCAUUUCAGCUGGAGUUCUACAUUGCGUAGUGGAUUCCCGCGCCGCCGUCUUAUUCCAGGGUCCAGGGAGUUGCUGCACUUCAGCUGGAGUUCAUCAGGGUAUCGGCGAGAGCGUCGUCAUUGAUUUGGAAUCAUAAGGGUCGUCGCUUUUGUAGGUCGUCUCGCCAGGGAAAAGGAAGCAUCUUUUGGACGCCGGGCCAAGAUGCUUUGCUUUGGGCCGUCGCUCGUAAAAGUCCAUGGAAUUGAAUGCAGAAAAUUGGAUUAGAUAAGUAUAUCUAUGUGUUUAGUUUUGUUUUGUCUGAUUUUAGUUUUUUUUUUUCUUUUCUUUUGCAGGUCCAAAUUGUCCAGGAUUUUUCAAGUUUGUCCGGUGGGAUUGGAAAGGAAACAUUGCCAUGGAGUUAUAAGAAGCAUCGUUUGGGAGGGAUAUUGUCAGUAUACCGUUGCUACCAGGAAAAGGUGGAAUUUAAGGGUCACGAUUUUGACCUUUUGCCGGGUCAGCAGCGCCGCACUUGGAAUUCGUAAGGACGAGAAGGCAUCCCAAUAUGGAAACGGCAUCAAAACAUUUUAGGUUUUUAAUGUUUUAGGUGCCGAAAUCAUUGUUUUUCAUUUCGCCGAGUCGGGAAAUAGGAUAUUGUCAGUAUACCGUUGCUACCAGGAAAAGGUGGAAUUUAAGGGUCACGAUUUUGACCUUUUGCCGGGUCAGCAGCGCCGCACUUGGAAUUCGUAAGGACGAGAAGGCAUCCCAAUAUGGAAACGGCAUCAAAACAUUUUAGGUUUUUAAUGUUUUAGGUGCCGAAAUCAUUGUUUUUCAUUUCGCCGAGUCGGGAAAUAGGAUAUUGUCAGUAUACCGUUGCUACCAGGAAAAGGUGGAAUUUAAGGGUCACGAUUUUGACCUUUUGCCGGGUCAGCAGCGCCGCACUUGGAAUUCGUAAGGACGAGAAGGCAUCCCAAUAUGGAAACGGCAUCAAAACAUUUUAGGUUUUUAAUGUUUUAGGUGCCGAAAUCAUUGUUUUUCAUUUCGCCGAGUCGGGAAAUAGGAUUUUGACUGUAUACCGUUGCUGCCAGGGAGAAGUCGAAUUCAAGGGUCGCAAGAUUGACCUUUUGCCGGGUUAGCAGCGGCGCACCUAGAGUUCAGAAGGACGAGGGGGCAUCCCAACAUGGAAAUGGCAUCAAAACAUUAUACAUUUUUAAUGUUUUAGGUGCCAAAAACAUCGUUUUCCGUUGCGCCGAGUCGGGAAGUAGUAGUUUGCGCAGUUUA